rnacentral:tRNA from 1 species
GAGCACGCCUGGAAAGUGUGUAUACGGCAACGUAUCGGGGGUUCGAAUCCCCCCCUCACCGCC